UUUUCCAUGGCAUGCUGUGGAUCAGGGAAUUUCUGCUUGAUCCUGAAGACUCAGAAUUACCGCUGGUAAAACAGCUGGCAUUUGUCUCAGCAAAGAAUGCUGCGUAACACUGAAGGUGCUCGAACAUCAGACUUAACUGAGAAGCCAAAAUUUGUCAAGAAGAGACCUGAGGCAGAAAGGCCUGUGGCUACUGCAGCUGCUCCUUUUCUCUGGAGUUUCUGGCUCACUCCUCUCUUCUCAUUCUUUCCUCAAGGUCAUAAUUUCGUGCAGCAGAUUGAAAACCUGCCCUACCCCGAAUUGCAUCUGCUUAUGUCUAUUGGGCUGAACUCCAGCAAGUCAAACUUGAAGUCAAGGAAGCUGCAAGUUGAUACAUGGCCCCUGUGAAGGAAGACCCAGUCCCAACUCCCAGUGAGUGGUCCUACCUAAGGCUUGGUACAGGCUGUCCUUCAAAGGUGCUGAUUAUGACUUGUUUGGAAACAGACCACUGUCAACAGUACGUGAGCUUGCCAUGAAGAUGAUGGGCAUCUAGAAAGAGCUGCGGAAAUACUGCAUCUUUUGGUUUUCACCAUACAGACUGUCACUUUGUGAUCUCUGGCUUUUUUAGACUCUUAAGUCCUUGUCGUUAUUUCAAUGUUUCAGGUUUUCUGUUUGAUCUCAAACAAUAAAUCACAGUGAGCAGCCAUUUCACAGUAGAGUGCUCUUCAAGUGAGGCCACUAUGCUGGGAUGAAGUAUGUGGUAUGAAGUGGGCUAUCAUUAUUUCUCAAUUUACUGGACAUGAGAAGCAAGUAUAGUUUAAGGUCUGUGGUACUGCAUCUGAAUCUGAAGAAACAUUUCCUGAAUUUUGGGUAACUUUUGCUUCCCUUCGUUGCACUCUGAUCUUGCUGUCUUUAAUCGUAUCAUUUACAGGUUUACCAUGUCCGAAGUCCUUAUUGUUUUUUAACAUCUCCCAUUUGUAAGGUGACCCACACUUUGAUGAUUGAGGCUGAAAAGGAUUGAGAUCCAAAUUAUUUCCCAUUACAAUUAGUUAAGCCAGUAAUCUUUUCAAAACCACCACAGUGGCUUGCUCAUGAUGUUUUAAAGCUAAAACCUUGUCUCUUAAGGUCACUCUGAACUUCAAUUCACUGUCCAUAGUGAAAUUCAGAUCUAAAAUUUCCCUGUUUUGAGGUCCGAUAAAACCAAAAAAAAAAUCAGGUGUCUUCACCUCAUAUAGAGA